rnacentral:rRNA from 1 species
UUUAUUUUAAAAAAUUUUAUUUUUUGGUAUUGCAUACUAGUAGAAAUUGUUACCACUUUUGUGGAUAAUAGAAUUAAAGUGUAAAAAUUAUUUUUUUUUUUUUGUUACAAAAUUAAAAAUAUUUUUUUUUUGGUAUUGAUAAAACGUACUUUAUUAUCUGUUUUUUAUAUGAAUAUAGUUUUAGUUAUUUUUAUUUAAUUACUUUUGUUUUAAAUAUUUUUUUGUUUUAUUUAGUGGAAAUGAUACAUUUUAUAAUUGGUUUGUUUUUAUUUUUUUCUUUUGAAAUUAAUUUUUUAAUUUUUUUUUAAUUUUUAUUUUAGUAUUUUUUUAUUAAUUUUAUUUUUUUUUGUAAUUUUUAUUUUUGAACUUGAUUUGUUAUUAAAUGUUUAUUAAAAACUUAGGUUUUUUUUUAAAGCUAUCUUCUGCUCUAUGAGAUUUUUAAAUGGCAGCCUUAGCGUGAUGGCAUAAAAGUAGCGUAAGUGAUUCGUUUUUUUAUUGAUUUCAGGUAUGAAUGGAGAUUUGAUAAUUUUUUUAAAAGUAUUUUUUUAGAAUUAUUUUUUUAAUUAAAAAUUAUUAAUUGAGUUAUAACAAAGAUAAGUCUUCGGAAACUUGGUUCUUUCGAGUGAUAGUCGGGGGAAUUUUCUUGGGGCUGGAAUUUCAGAAAUUUUUAAAACUAUUUUUAAAUUUUUAAGUUACUCCGGAGUUAACAGGGCGGCAGACAUAUAAAUAGGUUUUGAUAUUAUUGUGCUGUGCUACAUCGAUGUUGUAUGUUUUAUUGUUGGGGGAAAGAGAAGUUUUUUUUUUUGAGACUGUUCUUCUUGUAUAAAAAUAAAACUUGAUAUUAGUUUAGUUCGUCGUGAGACAGAGCGGUUUAUCUUGUGUAUCUCUUUUUUUGAGAGGGGCUAGUACGAAAGGAAAGUUAAUUAAGUUAAAAUUUAUGACUUUUUGAAUUGGAUUUUUGUUUAA